rnacentral:tRNA from 1 species
GAUAAGGUGGCUGAAUUUUAGGCUAUAAAUUGUAAAUUUAUAAAUGGUUAAUAAAACCUCUUAUCA